AGCAGCCGCGGUAAUUCCAGCUCCAAUAGCGUAUAUUAAAGUUGUUGCAGUUAAAAAGCUCGUAGUUGAAUUUCGGGACCAAUAUGUCGGUCGUGCUUCGGUACGUACUUGCAUUAUUGGUUUCUCCCUUCUGAGGAACCAUGAUGUCAUUAAUUUGGUGUCGUGGGAAAUCAGGACUGUUACUUUGAAAAAAUUAGAGUGUUUAAAGCAGGCUCGCGCUUGAAUACAUUAGCAUGGAAUAAUGAAAUAGGACGUUUGAUUCUAUUCUGUUGGUUUCUAGGAUCGACGUAAUGAUUAAUAGGGAUAGUUGGGGGCAUUAGUAUUCAAUUGUCAGAGGUGAAAUUCUUGGAUUUAUUGAAGACUAACUACUGCGAAAGCAUUUGCCAAGGAUGUUUUCAUUAAUCAAGAACGAAAGUUAGGGGAUCGAAGACGAUCAGAUACCGUCGUAGUCUUAACCAUAAACUAUGCCGACUAGGGAUCGGAUGAUGUUAUUUUUGAUGACUCA
rnacentral:rRNA from 1 species